AGACAGGGUUUGUGUAGUCCUGGCUCUCCUGGAACUCGCUCUCCAGACCAGGUUGACCUCAAACUCCACAAUCUACCUGCCGAUUGCCACCAUGCCUGGCUAUGUAUUUAUUUAUGAGACAGGGUCUUUCUACAUAGCUCUGGCUGUCCUGAAAGUGUGGACCAGGAUGCUUCCUGAGUGCUUGGAAUUAAAGGAAGGCACCACCAUCCUGGGUCUUAGCCAAUGAGAACAGCACCAAAGAGGCUUAAUGGUGCUUAACUACCCAUUACUGAUUUAUCUCUACUAGAGAAGUCUAAAGAAACAAGGCAAUCAGUUUCAUUCCAAUGGUCACAUAACUGUGUACUGUCUCACGUAAUUCUAAAACCAACUCACCAAUGUAGUAAUGUGACCAACUGAAGGAGAAAGGAAGAGAGAACUACAGAGUGCAUUAAGUUGUUCUAUUAUUUAUUACAUGUAAAUCCAGGAUCUGAGGAUACAGGCUCAUAUACAAUUCACAAAGCUCAAGAUAAAAACUUGAAGACUGAAACCACAACACAAUUACAAGAUCAACCUCUGUUUAUCUUUUAAUGUAAUACAUGCUUUACAGAUUUCAAUUUUAUAUUUAGAAAAUCAAGUAAAUUUUCUUAGACAAGUUUAGAAAGAAUAUGAAAACAAUUACAUUUUUGAGAAUUUCACUGUUAUUGGUCUGGCAAAUCCUAAACAUUUCUGAACAGCCCCAGAACUGUAAUAUAAACAACUAUUAACUAUUUUUUACUUUAUUCUUCUGUGUGUGCAUGCAUCCUCAUGUGUACAGGUGUGCAAACACCUGUGUACACAUGUGUACUGAAGCCAGAGGCCAGCAAAUGUACUUCCUCUACCACUUCCCAUCUUGUUCGUUUGAGACAGGGUCUCUCACUGAACCUGGAGCCGGUCAGCAAGCUCCAGGAAAUCUUCAGUUGUUUGUGCUGAGUUAACAGACAUACCUCACCACAUCUGGCUUUUAAAUGUGUGCAUUGGGGAUACAAUGUCAUUCUGGAUAGCUCUCAUUUAAUAUUAUAAUGCCUCAUUCUAUCCAAAACGAAACAAAAUUCUAAUUCACUAAUAACAUCUGAAUUUUAAUACGUUUAGAAAAAUGAAGUCAUUUAUCUUUUGAGUUUGUGUACAGCCAUUUCACUUUCUCAUUUCUUCCCUUCUAAACUGUUUCCUUCUUUGUUCACUAUGAGGAAAUUAUCUCUAAAAACUAGCUUUAAUAACACAAUUUUACUUAAACAGAAGAAAAGAAACCAACAUAACAAAAUUGACUUUAAAGCAUGGAAAAUUUGAUAAAUUACUAUUUUGCUGCAUGGCCAUUGCCAAGUUUACUUUUUAAAUUUUGGUCAGAAAAUAAUUUUUACGAAGCACAAUUAAACAGUAGUCUUCAAAACCCUGCAUAUUCCUGAACUGAGGCAGGUGGAUGGGUUGUAAACUUACCCUGUGGCUUCUACUGACUCCUCCAGGAUCAGGGAAACAAGCCAACCCAACCAGGCCUGCCUGAGUCCUGAGAGAAGUCAUGACUUGUAAAUCCUUGCACUUUCCAAAUGUCUGCUAUGAAUGAGAACUAGCUCCUCACCCCAAUGUGUGGGGUUAGAGAAGCACUUCUCCAAAGGCCACAGAGAGGGCCUGCUUUGUGGGGUGUGGUCAUCUCCUCACCAAUUCUUCCUUCUGAGUAGGUCAGAAGAGAGGCUGGCUUACACGCCAGAACCUCAGCUGGGCGAGAAUAUUCUGCUCAUUGUCCUGUCUAGAAAAUAUCCCUUUUGUAAACUGCUUGGAUACAAAUGUAAAAUGACCAAGGGACCAACAAAAAUUUGAUAGUAAAGACAUUUAAAAUCACCCAUCUCCCGAAUGUAAGCAGGGGGGUGAUAUACCUCUACAUUUCAGCCAUAUUGCUACCUUUGUGCAAAGUCAUAUAACCUUCCUUGUUAUAAAUCAAUCAUGGGGAACUACAAACUACAUUAACAUUUUAUUCCUAAAAUUCAAACUAAUUUAUAUGUUGCCUUAUCCCUGGAAGCUUUGCUUGUUCCAGGUGAAAACUUCUACAUGCUGACCAUGUUAUAAUAUUAACAUAUGAGAUCCAAAUAUCUAAAUGACCCGAAGUCCUGACAGUACCACUCUGCCCACAGCUCUGACCCCAACAACUGGCACACACAGCACUUACUGGAGGGAUUGUUGAACAGCUUAGGGCACUGCCCACAGACGUGACACUCAAUGUUCUUGUUCUAUGUUGAGCAACACUGUUCAUACUCUCUUCAUCUCUAGAAUAAAUAAAAUUUAAGAAAC
rnacentral:lncRNA from 1 species